rnacentral:rRNA from 1 species
AAGGGCACCACAAGAACGCGUGGAGCAUGUGGCUUAAUUUGACUCAACGCGGGAAAUCUUACCGGGUCCGGACACGCUGAGGAUUGACAGGCGAAGCAGUAUUGAAGGUACAACUUCGGUUGCGCUGGAGAUACUCUAUAAAUAUGCAAGUUCUUUCAUGAUUGUGUGAUAGGUGGUGCAUGGCCGUUCUUAGUUCGUGGAAUAAUCUGUCUGCUUAAUUGCGUUAUACUAUAUAGGUAUAUUAUCUUCGUUAAUGGUACUUCAAGUUAUUCUUCUGAAUGGCUUGGGGUAUCAGGAGAUUGAUAUGCCUUCUGAAACGAACGUGACCCCAGCCCCUUUUUGUCGGUAUUACUGCAUAUUCACUAUGUAAAAUUUUUUAUAAUACUGUGAAGUAGGGGGACUGCUAGGUUCAACCUAGAGGAAGGCUGGGGCAAUAACAGGUCUGUGAUGCCCUUAGAUGUUCCGGGCUGCACACGUGCUACAAUGAACAGUGCAGUAAGCAUAUUUAUAAUUAUGCGUCUUUUCUUUUGAAAAUUUGCAUAAAAACCAACUUCGAGAGACAGUUGGCAAACCAUUCGAAGUACUGAUUUCCCAUAAGCUAACAUGUGUCUUUCUUUUGAAAGUUCACGUUGCUCUUUUUGUAAGACUUCAUAGUAGGGACAGAGGAUUGUUAAUUCUUCCUCUCGUUUCAACUAGGAAUGCCUUGUACGGGUCUUUGGUUCAACAGACCACCCGGAAUACGUCCCUGCCCUUUGUACACACCGCCCGUCA